UACAGAGGUCUCAAGCGUUGUUCGGAUUCAUUGGGCGUAAAGGGUGCGUAGGCGGCGCGGUAAGUCGGGUGUGAAAUCUCGGAGCUUAACUCCGAAACUGCAUUCGAUACUGCGGUGCUUGAGGACUGGAGAGGAGACUGGAAUUUAUGGUGUAGCGGUGAAAUGCGUAGAGAUCAUGAGGAAGACCAGUGGCGAAGGCGGGUCUCUGGACAGUUCCUGACACUGAGGCACGAAGGCCAGGGGGAGCAAACGGGGAUUAGAUACCCCCUAGUC
rnacentral:rRNA from 1 species